rnacentral:misc_RNA from 1 species
UUCGUUUUAUGGGUGAUGAUGAUGAUGCGAAAAGAUUUAGCUAUAGUCUUGAAGUAGGUGGAUUUGGCAGAAAGUUAACAUGGCAGGGAGUACCGAGGAGCAUCCGUGAUAGUCAUAAAACUGUCCGAGACAGUUUAGACGGGCUGAUUAUUCAAAGGAGCAUGGCACUCUUCUUCUCUGGUGGUGACAGGAAGGAGCUGAAGCUAAAGGUAGCUGGGCGUAUUUGGCGAGAGCCAUUGUAAACUAGAUAUAUGCAUCUUCCUUCAUCGUGGGGAUGCCCUGAAAGUAUAGUUAGUUAUCGCUAAAUUGGUUGGUGGCUUAAUUUUUUGUAAAUGGUUCUAUACAGUUUCUGGUUUUUCGGAUCGAUCGUAUCGAUUGUAGUUUAGCUCAACUGUGGAUCAUGUAUCUAAAGUUGUGAGGCAUUUUAAGCUUUUCUAUGACCAGCCAUAUGAUAAUCUAUCUGGUUAUUAGUCUCUUUCUG